GACAAAAUUAGCGCACCACCUAUAUAUUUUCGAAUAAAUCAUUUUUUUUCCCAAGUAGGCUGGUAAAUAACGUAACCAUAGUAACAUUGGACAGUACCAAUUGUUUUUGGUCCCUUUCUACUCAUUCCAGUGCAAGUUUCUACUUGUUUUCUGUCAUUUGCAUCAUCUCAUCAUUGUUUUCAAUAGUGAUGAGCGAGACUGGUAUUGGACUUACACUUGGAUGACCAAGAGUUUCGCAAGAGUCUCGCAAGACCAGGCCGCUCAUAUUAAUGUUUUUGGUUUGACGUAUAGCUCACCCUGUCAAAAAACGAUGAAACAAAACGAAGUGUGGUUAGUACGGAAGCUGAACAGUCUUGAAGCAUGGGUCACCCUCUCAAAAAACGAUAAAACGAAAUCCGAUACCGAAACGCUUAAACACUUAACAUACCGACGAUUGACUGUGCGUGAGAAAUAAUUAAAUUAGAAGCCAAAGCUG